rnacentral:rRNA from 1 species
UACAUAGGGCUCAAGCGUUGUUCGGAUUCAUUGGGCGUAAAGGGUGCGUAGGCGGCGCUGUAAGUCGGGUGUGAAAUCUCGGAGCUUAACUUCGAAACUGCAUUCGAUACUGCCGUGCUUGAGGACUGGAGAGGAGACUGGAAUUUACGGUGUAGCGGUGAAAUGCGUAGAUAUCGUAAGGAAGACCAGUGGCGAAGGCGGGUCUCUGGACAGUUCCUGACGCUGAGGCACGAAGGUCAGGGGAGCAAACGGG